AGAGUUUGAUCCUGGCUCAGGACGAACGCUGGCGGCGUGCUUAACACAUGCAAGUCGAACGAUGAUCCGGAGCUUGCUUCGGGGAUUAGUGGCGAACGGGUGAGUAACACGUGAGUAACCUGCCCCUCACUCUGGGAUAAGCACUGGAAACGGUGUCUAAUACCGGAUAUGACCUUCGGACGCAUGUUCAGGGAGUGGAAAGAUUUUUUGGUGGGGGAUGGACUCGCGGCCUAUCAGGUAGUUGGUGAGGUAAUGGCUCACCAAGCCGACGACGGGUAGCCGGCCUGAGAGGGUGACCGGCCACACUGGGACUGAGACACGGCCCAGACUCCUACGGGAGGCAGCAGUGGGGAAUAUUGCACAAUGGGCGAAAGCCUGAUGCAGCAACGCCGCGUGAGGGAUGACGGCCUUCGGGUUGUAAACCUCUUUUAGUAGGGAAGAAGCGAAAGUGACGGUACCUGCAGAAAAAGCACCGGCUAACUACGUGCCAGCAGCCGCGGUAAUACGUAGGGUGCAAGCGUUGUCCGGAAUUAUUGGGCGUAAAGAGCUCGUAGGCGGUUUGUCGCGUCUGCUGUGAAAUCCGGAGGCUCAACCUCCGGCCUGCAGUGGGUACGGGCAGACUAGAGUGCGGUAGGGGAGAUUGGAAUUCCUGGUGUAGCGGUGGAAUGCGCAGAUAUCAGGAGGAACACCGAUGGCGAAGGCAGAUCUCUGGGCCGUAACUGACGCUGAGGAGCGAAAGCAUGGGGAGCGAACAGGAUUAGAUACCCUAGUAGUCC
rnacentral:rRNA from 1 species